rnacentral:rRNA from 1 species
CCUACGGGAGGCAGCAGUGAGGAAUAUUGGUCAAUGGACGAGAGUCUGAACCAGCCAAGUAGCGUGAAGGAUGACUGCCCUCUGGGUUGUAAACUUCUUUUAUAUGGGAAUAAAAUGUUCCACGUGUGGGAUUUUGUAUGUACCAUCUGAAUAAGGAUCGGCUAACUCCGUGCCAGCAGCCGCGGUAAUACGGAGGAUCCGAGCGUUAUCCGGAUUUAUUGGGUUUAAAGGGAGCGUAGGUGGAUUGUUAAGUCAGUUGUGAAAGUUUGCGGCUCAACCGUAAAAUUGCAGUUGAAACUGGCAGUCUUGAGUACAGUAGAGGUGGGCGGAAUUCGUGGUGUAGCGGUGAAAUGCUUAGAUAUCACGAAGAACGCCGAUUGCGAAGGCAGUUCACUGGACUGCAACUGACACUGAGGCUCGAAAGUGUGGGUAUCAAACAGGAUUAGAUACCCUAGUAGUC